rnacentral:rRNA from 1 species
UACGGGGGGGGCAAGCGUUGUUCGGAAUUACUGGGCGUAAAGGGCUCGUAGGCGGCCAACUAAGUCGGACGUGAAAUCCCCAGGCUCAACCUGGGAACUGCGUCCGAUACUGGAUGGCUUGAAUUCGGGAGAGGGAUGCAGAAUUCCGGGUGUAGUGGUGGAAUGCGUAGAGAUCCGGAGGAACACCAGAGGCGAAGGCGGCUUCCUGGACCCGGCCUGACGCUCAGGGGCGAAAGCGUGGGGAGCGAUCCGG